GACGAACGCUGGCGGCGUGCUUAACACAUGCAAGUCGAACGGAAACGCCCUGCUUUUGGGGGCUGCUCGAGUGGCGAACGGGUGAGUUACACGUGAGUUACCUGCCCUUGACUUUGGGAGAACUUCAGGAAACUGGGGCUAAUACCGGCAAGGAGCUCUUGCUGUAUGGUGGGCGCUGGAUAGUUUCGGCGGUUGGGGAUGGACUAGCGGCCUAUCGGCUUGUUGGUUGGGUAGUGGCUGAGCAAGGCAUGGACAGGUAGCCGACCUGGGCGGAGAACCUGCCACAUUAGGACUGAGAUACGGCCCAGACUCCAACGGGAGGCAACGGUGGGGAAUAUUGCACAGUAGGCGGAAGCCAGGUGCGACAACGCCGCGUGGGGUAAGACGGCCUUCGGGUUGUGUACCGCUUUCGCCUGAGACGAGGCGUGAAUGACAGUAACGGGUAAAGAAGCACCGGCUAACUCCGUG
rnacentral:rRNA from 1 species